GCGCCCUUGGUGUAGCGGUAACACACAAUCUACUUCUCUGCGUGACGAAUAUAUGAGAUUGGGUCCGGGGUUCGACUCCCCGUGGGCGCA